rnacentral:misc_RNA from 1 species
UCUCCGUUGGUGAACCAGCGGAGGGAUCAUUAUAGAGUUUUUAACUCCCAAACCCAUGUGAACUUACCUUUGUUGCCUCGGCGGAGCCUACCCGGUACCUACCCUGUAGCGCCCCGCCGGUGGAUUUCAAACUCUUGUUAUUUUUUGUAAUCUGAGAGUCUUAUUUUAAAUAAGUCAAAACUUUCAACAACGGAUCUCUUGGUUCUGGCAUCGAUGAAGAACGCAGC